GUCGUAACAAGGUUUCCGUAGGUGAACCUGCGGAAGGAUCAUUAACACGUAUCCAACGUUUUUUAUAUCUACCUUUGUGAACCGGUUAUCCGUGAACCUUUUUGGAUUCUUUGUACCUCAAACUCCUGUAAUGGGAAUUUUGCCGUAUUGGCUGAAUUUUAUAUACAUACUUUUUCGAUGACAGUCUGGUUGUUGUGUAUCGACACCAGUACUUGAAACGAGACCACAUGACCCUUAGCGAAGGAUGUCUUGGUUCCGGCAACGAUGAAGAACGCAGCGAAAUGCGAAACGUAAUGCGAAUUGCAGAACUCAGUGAAUCAUCAAAUCUUUGAACGCAAAUUGCGCUCCCGGGAUUUAUCGGCGGGAGCAUGCCUCCUUCAGUGUCGCGUCUACCAAUCUCACCGACGUGUGACGUGUGCGUGCGCACGGUUCUGUUCGCGUGGAGAGUGAGUCACACACACUGUUUGUAUGUGAUAUGUGUGGCUUGAAGACGAUUGGUUGCUGUCGUUCUUCCGGAGUCUGACUCCGGGAGACCUGCGCCUCUGCCCUGUGAGCACGUGUGAAUUGCAGUGCGUCGGGACGAUGUGGGUAGCCUUUAUAUAAAAUGGACGAAACAUUGUGUUCUGGCGUCUUUCGCUGCGUGCGCUCGGGUUUGGGUUAUAUAUUAUAUUUUGCGGAGAACAGCGUGACCGCCAACGACUGACGAGAGGGGGAGCGAUCCCUCUCUUUACAAUUGACCUGAAGUGAGGUAAGAGGACCGGCCGAAUUUAAGCAUAUUAAUAAGCCGAGGAAAAGAAACUAACAAGGAUUCCCCUAGUAACGGCGAGUGAAGCGGGAAGAGCUCAAGUUGAAAAGCCUGAACCGUUUGGUUUAGGCGUUGUAAGCUGAUGAGCGGACUCAGUGGAAGCCGUCCCGGGGACAAGUCGCUUGGAACAGCGCGUGCAUAGAGGGUGAGAGCCCCGUACAGGCCCCGGUGAACAACCACGGACGAGUUUGUUUCGAGGAGUCGUGUUGUUUGGGAUUACAGCACUAAGCGGGAGGUAAGCUUCUUCCAAGGCUAAAUAUCAGCCGGAGACCGAUAGCGAACAAGUACCGUGAGGGAAAGAUGAAAAGAACUUUGGAAAGAGAGUUAAAAAGUACCUGAAAUUGCUAAGGGGGAAGUGAUGGAAAGUAACAGUGGCGGACGAGAUAAGUGUGAGGUGCGUUCCUGUCCUAUGGCGUGGUCAAACCGCCGGAUGGGUAGCGCCGAGCUCGUGCUCUACGCCGUGUCAGCCCGGCUUUGACUCGCGGGAGAAGGCCUAGCCUGUUGGCGACGGCGUAUGCCGUGGGUGGGAGUUGUGGCUGGCGAAAUGGUUUUCAUCGACCCGUCUUGAAACACGGACCAAGGAGUCUAACAUGUGUGCGAGUGUUUGGGUGUAAAACCCUGACGCGGAAUGAAAGUGAAAGGGUGGGAACCUUUGCGGGGGCACCACCGACCGGCCUUUCGUUGGAUUGGUCUGAGUAAGAGCAGAUAUGUUGGGACCCGAAAGAUGGUGAACUAUGCGUGAA
rnacentral:rRNA from 1 species